rnacentral:rRNA from 1 species
AUUGAACGCUGGCGGCAUGCCUUACACAUGCAAGUCGAACGGCAGCACGGGGGCAACCCUGGUGGCGAGUGGCGAACGGGUGAGUAAUACAUCGGAACGUGUCCUGGAGUGGGGGAUAGCCCGGCGAAAGCCGGAUUAAUACCGCAUACGCUCUAUGGAGGAAAGCGGGGGAUCUUCGGACCUCGCGCUCAAGGGGCGGCCGAUGGCGGAUUAGCUAGUUGGUAGGGUAAAGGCCUACCAAGGCGACGAUCCGUAGCUGGUCUGAGAGGACGACCAGCCACACUGGGACUGAGACACGGCCCAGACUCCUACGGGAGGCAGCAGUGGGGAAUUUUGGACAAUGGGGGCAACCCUGAUCCAGCAAUGCCGCGUGUGUGAAGAAGGCCUUCGGGUUGUAAAGCACUUUUGUCCGGAAAGAAAUCCUCUGGGUUAAUACCUCGGGGGGAUGACGGUACCGGAAGAAUA